UUCUUUAAAUAUUGGUCAGAAUUUAGCAUGAUCCUUGCUAUUGCUGUGAUUUUAGACCCUCGUUUCAAGCUUUAUUUUGUGGCUUUUAGUUACACUAAGAUUUAUGGGUAUGAUUCUAGAGAGAUCAAAAAGGUCCGUGAUAACUUGUUUAGUCUCUUUAAUGAGUAUUUGCAUGAUUCUCCUUCUCCUAUGAGCACAAAAGCCAUUUCACAAACAGUUGGAAGUUGUUCUUAUGAAAGAGAAGAAGCACUUUGGACAAAAGAGAGUAGAGAUAUCAUGCAGGAAUUUGAUAGUUUUGAAAGUGAUGAAUUUGCUAGUGCUUAAAAAUCAUAAUUAGAAUUGUAUUUGGAUGAGCCAAAGGUUGAUAGGAAAGUAGACCUUGAUGUGCUUGUAUAUUGGAAGGCCAACCAGUUCAGGUAUCCAGUACUUUCUCGUAUGGCUCGAGAUGUAUUAAGCAUUCCAGUGUCUACGGUUGCUUCCGAGCCUGCUUUUAGUGUUGGUGGUUGAAUUCUUGAUCAAUUCCGUAGUUGUCUUAAACCUGAGAAUGUGGAGGCUUUGGUUUGCACAAGAGAUUGGUUAUUUAAUAUAAAAGAGAGCAUGCAACUUCAAUUGGAUGACCUUGUUGUGGAGUUUGAUGAUUUGACCAUGAGUAAUAAAGAGGGCGUUCCUUCAGCACAAUGUUUAAACACUUGUGCUGAUAUGGUUCAAUAAGCUCUCUAUUUGGUGAAACUUUUUUUGUGCUACUACUAUUUUGGAAGUUAUCUUUUGAUCAUGCCUUCUUCAUUGAAGCCAGUGAAUAUCCUUUUUGGUGGUUUUGGUUAACAAAGAGCAUAUGCUUGGAAGUGAUCCUUUUGUUAGUAAUCUGCAUAUGACAAAGAACAAUAUGAUUCUACUGAACUACG